UACGGAGGGUGCAAGCGUUAUCCGGAUUCACUGGGUUUAAAGGGUGCGUAGGCGGGCAGGUAAGUCAGUGGUGAAAUCCUGGAGCUCAACUCCAGAACUGCCAUUGAUACUAUCUGUCUUGAAUAUUGUGGAGGUAAGCGGAAUAUGUCAUGUAGCGGUGAAAUGCUUAGAUAUGACAUAGAACACCUAUUGCGAAGGCAGCUUACUACGCAUAUAUUGACGCUGAGGCACGAAAGCGUGGGGAUCAAACAGG
rnacentral:rRNA from 1 species